UACGGGGGGGGCAAGCGUUGUUCGGAUUUAUUGGGUUUAAAGGGUGCGUAGGCGGCUAAUUAAGUCAGCGGUGAAAUUCCACAGCUCAACUGUGGAACUGCCAUUGAUACUGGUUGGCUUGAGUACAGAUGAGGUAGGCGGAAUUGACAGUGUAGCGGUGAAAUGCUUAGAUAUUGUCAAGAACACCUAUUGCGAAGGCAGCUUACUAAGCUGUAACUGACGCUGAGGCACGAAAGCGUGGGGAUCAAACAGG
rnacentral:rRNA from 1 species